AUAAGGCUCACUAGCCACAGAAAAACAGGCAGUCAAUUUUUAAAGGACUUCAGCUUUUUUUCUUUCUCAGGGAGAAUUGGGUUUUCUUACAUACAACUGAGUUUUUGCUUACACAUUCUUUAAUUUCUUUUUUUUUUCUUUUGAGACGGAGUUUCGCUCUUGUUGCCCAGGCUAGAGUGCAAAGGUGCGAUCUCGGCUCACAGCAACCUCCGCCUCCCAGGUUCAAGCCAUUCUCCUGCCUCAGCCUCUGGAGUAGCUGGGAUUACAGGCAUGCACCACCACACCUGGCUAAUUUUUUGUAUUUUUAGUAGAGACAGGGUUUCUCUAUGUUGGUCAGGCUGGUCUUGAACUCUGGACCUCAGGUGAUCCGCCUGCCUUGGCCUCCCAAAUUACUGGGAUUACAGGCGUGAGCCACUGCGCCCGGCCUCUUUAAUUUCUUUUAAUUCCUGUUCCAAUGCAGAGAAGAACAUAAGAAGAAAAACCCAGAAGUCCCUGUCAAUUUUGCAGAAUUUUCCAAGAAAUGCUCUGGGAGGUGGAAGACAAUGUCCAGUAAAGAGAAAUUUAAAUUUGGUGAAAUGGCAAAGGCGGAUGAAGUGUGCUAUGAUCGGGAAAUGAAGGAUUAUGGACCAGCUAAGGGAGGCAAGAAGAAGGAUCCUAAUGCCCCCAAAAGGCCACCAUCUGGAUUCUUCCUGUUCUGUUCAGAAUUCCGCCCCAAGAUCAAAUCCACAAACCCCGGCAUCUCUAUUGGAGACGUGGCAAAAAAGUUGGGUGAGAUGUGGAAUAACUUAAAUGACAGUGAAAAGCAGCCUUACGUCACUAAGGCGGCAAAGCUGAAGGAGAAGUAUGAGAAGGAUGUUGUUGACUGUAAGUUGAAAGGAAAGUUUUAUGGCGCAAAGCGUCCUGCUAAAGUUGCCCGGAAAAAGGUGGAAGAGGAAGAUGAAGAAGACGAGGAGGAAGAAGAGAAGGAGAAGGACGAGGAGGAUGAACAAAGAAACUGUUUAUCUGUCUCCUUGUGAAUACAUAGAGUAGGGGAGCGCCGUAACUGACACAUCUCUUAUUUAAUGUCUGUUGCCCUCAUUAGGUUUAAUUACAAAAUUUGAUCACGAUCGUAUUGUAGUCUCUCAAAGUGCUCUAGAAAUUGUCAGUGGUUUACAUGAAGUGGCCAUGGGUGUCUGGAGCACCCUGAAACUGCACCAAAGUUGUACAUAUUUCCAAACAUUUUUAAAAUGAAAAGGCACUCUCGUGUUCUCCUCACUCUGUGCACUUUGCCGUUGGUGUGACAAGGCAUUUAAAGAUGUUUCUGGCGUUUUCUUUUUAUUUGUAAGGUGGUGUUAACUAUAUGGUUAUUGGCUAGAAAUCCUGA
rnacentral:lncRNA from 1 species